rnacentral:rRNA from 1 species
UACAGAGGUCUCAAGCGUUGUUCGGAUUCAUUGGGCGUAAAGGGUGCGUAGGUGGCGCGGUAAGUCGGGUGUGAAAUCUCGGAGCUUAACUCCGAAAUUGCAUUCGUUACUGCCGUGCUCGAGGACUGGAGAGGAGACUGGAAUUCAUGGUGUAGCAGUGAAAUGCGUAGAUAUCGUAAGGAAGACCAGUGGCGAAGGCGGGUCUCUGGACAGUUCCUGACGCUGAGGCACGAAGGUCAGGGGAGCAAACGGG